rnacentral:rRNA from 1 species
GAUGAACGCUGGCGGUGUGCCUAAUACAUGCAAGUCGUACGCAUUCUCGUUUCUGAUUGACGGUGCUUGCACCUAAUUGACGAGACAUUGGAAUGAGUGGCGGACGGGUGAGUAACACGUGGGUAACCUGCCCAGAAGUGGGGGAUAACAUUUGGAAACAGAUGCUAAUACCGCAUAAAAGUCAAAACCACAUGGUUUUGAUUUAAAAGAUGGCCUUUGUGCUAUCACUUCUGGAUGGACCCGCGGCGUAUUAGCUAGUUGGUAAGGUAACGGCUUACAAAGGCAAUGAUACGUAGCCGAACUGAGAGGUUGAUCGGCCCAAUGGGACUGAGACACGGCACAUACUCCUACGGGAGGCAGCAGUAGGGAAUCUUCCACAAUGGGCGCAAGCCUGAUGGAGCAACACCGCGUGAGUGAAGAAGGGUUUCGGCUCGUAAAACUCUGUUGUUAAAGAAGAACGUAUCUAAGAGUAACUGCUUAGGUAGUGACGGUAUUUAACCGGAAAGCCACGGCUAACUACGUGCCAGCCGCCGCAGUAA